rnacentral:rRNA from 2 species
AUGCAAGUCGAGCGAGAAAGGUUUUCGGACUGAGUACAGCGGCGGACGGGUGAGUAACGCGUAGGAAUCUACCCAGUAGUGGGGGACAACUUAGGGAAACUUAAGCUAAUACCGCAUACGCCCUAAGGGGGAAAGCGGGGGAUCUUCGGACCUCGCGCUAUUGGAAGAGCUUGCGUUAGAUUAGCUAGUUGGUGGGGUAAAGGCUCACCAAGGCGACGAUCUAUAGCUGGUCUGAGAGGAUGAUCAGCCACACUGGGACUGAGACACGGCCCAGACUCC